rnacentral:pre_miRNA from 1 species
GCGGGGGAGGGGGGGCGCGUUCCCUCAGCCUAGAUUGCUAGAAGGUGUAGGCUAGGCCGAGGGACUCCACCGGUGCCCA